rnacentral:tRNA from 1 species
GCCCGUGUAGCUCAGCGGUAGAGCAUUGUACUUAUGAGGAUAAAAUUGGCCAAUUGUGAUAUGCAAGGGUCUCGAGUUCGAAUCUCGGCAUGGGCA